rnacentral:rRNA from 1 species
GAUGAACGCUAGCUACAGGCUUAACACAUGCAAGUCGCGGGGCAGCAUGGGGGUUGCUUGCAACCCCCGAUNGCGACCGGCGCACGGGUGAGUAACGCGUAUCCAACCUGCCCUUCACCACGGGAUAACCCGGCGAAAGUCGGACUAAUACCGUAUGUUGUCCAUUGACGGCAUCCGAUUUGGACGAAAGGCUUGGCGGUGAAGGAUGGGGAUGCGUCCGAUUAGCUUGACGGCGGGGUAACGGCCCACCGUGGCUACGAUCGGUAGGGGUUCUGAGAGGAAGGUCCCCCACACUGGAACUGAGACACGGUCCAGACUCCUACGGGAGGCAGCAGUGAGGAAUAUUGGUCAAUGGGCGUAAGCCUGAACCAGCCAAGUAGCGUGCAGGAUGACGGCCCUAUGGGUUGUAAACUGCUUCUAUGCGGGGAUAAAGGAGUCCACGUGUGGGCUUUUGCAGGUACCGCAUGAAUAAGGACCGGCUAAUUCCGUGCCAGCAGCCGCGGUAAUACGGAAGGUCCGGGCGUUAUCCGGAUUUAUUGGGUUUAAAGGGAGCGUAGGCCGCGCCUUAAGCGUGUUGUGAAAUCCGGGUGCUCAACAUCCGGCUUGCAGCGCGAACUGGGGCGCUUGAGUGCGCUGAAAGUAGGCGGAAUUCGUGGUGUAGCGGUGAAAUGCUUAGAUAUCACGAGGAACUCCGAUUGCGAAGGCAGCCUACUGUAGCGCUACUGACGCUGAUGCUCGAAAGCGUGGGUAUCGAACAGG